rnacentral:rRNA from 1 species
UACGUAGGGUGCGAGCGUUGUCCGGAAUUAUUGGGCGUAAAGGGCUCGUAGGCGGUUUGUCGCGUCUGCUGUGAAAUCCCGAGGCUCAACCUCGGGUCUGCAGUGGGUACGGGCAGACUGGAGUGCGGUAGGGGGAGAAUGGAAUUCCUGGUGUAGCGGUGGAAUGCGCAGAUAUCAGGAGGAACACCGAUGGCGAAGGCAGUUCUCUGGGCCGUAACUGACGCUGAGGAGCGAAAGCGUGGGGAGCGAACAGG